GGAGGGUGCAAGCGUUGUCCGGAAUCACUGGGCGUAAAGGGCGCGUAGGCGGCUCAUGAAGGCUGUGGUGAAAGUCCGGGGCUCAACCUCGGAUCGGCCGUGGCGACUCGUGGGCUGGAGCACUGUAGAGGCGGGUGGAAUUCCGGGUGUAGCGGUGGAAUGCGUAGAGAUCCGGAAGAACACCAGUGGCGAAGGCGGCCCGCUGGGCAGUGGCUGACGCUGAGGCGCGACAGCGUGGGGAGCAAACAGGAUUAGAUACCCUGGUAGUCCACGCCGUAAACGAUGGGCACUAGGUGCUUGGGGGAGCGACCCUCUGAGUGCCGGCGCUAACGCAUUAAGUGCCCCGCCUGGGGAGUACGGCCGCAAGGCUG
rnacentral:rRNA from 1 species